rnacentral:rRNA from 1 species
AGACCGGCGCACGGGUGCGUAACGCGUAUGCAAUCUACCUUUUACAGAGGGAUAGCCCAGAGAAAUUUGGAUUAAUACCUCAUAGUAUAGCAGUUUCGCAUGAAACCACUAUUAAAGUCACAACGGUAAAAGAUGAGCAUGCGUCCCAUUAGCUAGUUGGUAAGGUAACGGCUUACCAAGGCUACGAUGGGUAGGGGUCCUGAGAGGGAGAUCCCCCACACUGGUACUGAGACACGGACCAGACUCCUACGGGAGGCAGCAGUGAGGAAUAUUGGACAAUGGGCGCAAGCCUGAUCCAGCCAUGCCGCGUGCAGGAUGACGGUCCUAUGGAUUGUAAACUGCUUUUAUACAGGAAGAAACCCUGGUUCGUGAACCAGCUUGACGGUACUGUAAGAAUAAGGAUCGGCUAACUCCGUGCCAGCAGCCGCGGUAAUACGGAGGAUCCAAGCGUUAUCCGGAAUCAUUGGGUUUAAAGGGUCCGUAGGCGGUUUAAUAAGUCAGUGGUGAAAGCCCAUCGCUCAACGGUGGAACGGCCAUUGAUACUGUUAAACUUGAAUUAUUAGGAAGUAACUAGAAUAUGUAGUGUAGCGGUGAAAUGCUUAGAGAUUACAUGGAAUACCAAUUGCGAAGGCAGGUUACUACUAA